rnacentral:rRNA from 1 species
UACAGAGGGGCAAGCGUUGUUCGGAAUUACUGGGCGUAAAGGGCGCGUAGGCGGCCUUCUAAGUCGAACGUGAAAUCCCUGGGCUCAACCCAGGAACUGCGUCCGAUACUGAAAGGCUUGAAUCCGGGAGAGGGAUGCGGAAUUCCAGGUGUAGCGGUGAAAUGCGUAGAUAUCUGGAGGAACACCGGUGGCGAAGGCGGCAUCCUGGACCGGUAUUGACGCUGAGGCGCGAAAGCCAGGGGAGCAAACGGG